GAUGAAGAACGCAGCGAAAUGCGAUAAGUAAUGUGAAUUGCAGAAUUCCGUGAAUCAUCGAAUCUUUGAACGCACAUUGCGCCCCCUGGCAUUCCGGGGGGCAUGCCUGUCCGAGCGUCAUUUCUGCCCUCCAGCCCGGCUGGGUGUUGGGCGCUGUCCCCCCGGGGACACGCACCAAAGGCAGUGGCGGCGCCGCGUCGGGUCCUCGAGCGUAUGGGGCUUUGUCACCCGCUCGGGACGGACUCGUCGGCGCUGGUCUUCCUCCAGGCGACCCUUCGGGGCUCGUCUUCCUUCGGUUGACCUCGGAUCAGGUAGGGUUACCCGCUGAACUUAAGCAUAUCAAUAAGCGGAGGA
rnacentral:misc_RNA from 1 species